AGACAACACUGUGGAGAUCCUGAACGUCUUUCGGCCAUUGUGCUGCAGGGGAUGCAGGCAUUUCGGGUUAAACUUUCUGAAGGAGUGCUGGAUUCUGGGCAAAUUUGGUUUCAGCUCUGAGCUGCAUAGGUUAGAAUUAUUUCCCAUUUGUAACACUACAACAGUGUCUCCUCCAUACCUGAAAAUGAUAUUUGGAGCCCAGAAAAGUGAUACUUAGAUGGUGUGGAAGAGCUUCUGUUUGAUUUAGUCAGACUUCACUCACCUUUGUUAAUCUUUGUCCAAACAAAUUAAAGUAUGCUUGCAAAAUAAUGCACCAAGUCUUGCAUGUACCAAUACUUGUUUUGUAGUACGUAACUCUGUCAUUUUCCCUUGUGCUUCAGGUAUUCAGAGAGAUGUCAAACUGGAAAGAAAAAAGAAGACCUGCCAGCCUCAAACAACACCCUCUUUCUUCGCAUUAGAAAUGGAAACACGUCCUCUGCAGGAAUUUUCCACUUAAUAGCUCCUGCUUUCCUACCGGGGGCCUCAGUGCACCACCACUGCAAUGCUGUAUUUCUUUCCACUGCAGUUUGACAUUUUGCAGCCAGAACAACGAGCGGCAUUCACUCCAUCCUGCUUUUUGAAAAAUGUAUCUCUACAGGCACACAGAAAGCACCCGGUGCAGCCAUCACCACAGGGAAAUGGCAAAGACAUUAGGAAAAAUAAGUCUGUGGUAAUAUCAAGAUUCCAGGAAAAGACUGCACAGUUUUUCAGUUGAAAUUGCAAAGUAGUAGACAAAUAGGUAAGCAUUUCCUUUCCAGUAUUCCCAAAGAUCUGACCUUUACUGGUGCUAAAUGAUUCCCAAUUAACCGUGUUCUCAUCACACACAGUACAAUUAAAUAAUCUUAUAAACUCCUACCAGUUUCUGUAUGUCUGCUACAGAUUAUAAACCAAAGAUCAAACUUUUAGGAUUUAUUCAUGUUGGAAAAUAUUUUUGAAUGUGCUUUUCCUUGACUAAAAAUUCUUACUUCACUAUGUCAAACAAUUUGGUAUGUACAAAAAAUUGUUUCCUGUACAUUGGUUAUCUCCUUUGUGGGGAAGCAGAAAUCUCAACAGUGACAUCACUUGCAAUUUAGACUGCUGGUGGCGAUCUAGUUAUUUGUUUCCUUGAGUCCAUGGCCUUUGGAGACAUGCCAUUUAGUCUUUGAGUAGUGGGAAACCUUUUGUGAAAUAUGGGGCUUUGGAGGGGAUGGGAGGGGUUUUCUUUAAAACAAGAAAAAUGUCUGUGGAUUUUGUUUGAACUUACAGUGUGUGAUUAAUGAUUCUCUAUUCACUGGAAAACUGUAGCUCUCAUUAAAUCAUUAACUGAAAAAAAAAAAAUAAGAAUUAGGACUAAGAAAUCCAAGGAUCGACCUUUUU
rnacentral:lncRNA from 1 species